CCUCGUCUGUGGCUUUAAAUUCAUUAGGGACCCCUCUUGGAAUACCAAUGGCAUCUAGAUAGAUAUGUGGGUCGAAACUACCUUGUGGGGAUUCCCUUUUCCUUCUUGUGGAAUCAGUUACAGCCUUAAUUUCAGGGAGAGAGUCGCCAAAUAUAUGGAGGAGCAUGAUUAUUUUGGCUGGGGCACAUUCUCCUCUCCAGGGGGUGGGGAGUCUAGAACGUAUUUUCAUAUCUCCACAUAUUCAAUAAACAUCUCCCACAGAUUGUGUUUGAUUCACUAAGGUAAUAUUACUGUAGGCGGAGCAGAAUCCUGAAGAAAAGUUAUCAAAUGGUUUACCCACCUUACCAUUAUUAUUUCCCUGAAAAC